UACGUAGGUGGCAAGCGUUUGUCCGGAUUUACUGGGCGUAAAGAGCGCGCAGGCGGUCGUUCAAGUCGCGUGUGAAAGCCCCCCGGCUCAACUGGGGAGGGUCACGCGAUACUGAUCGACUCGAAGGCAGGAGAGGGAAGUGGAAUUCCCGGUGUAGUGGUGAAAUGCGUAGAUAUCGGGAGGAACACCAGUGGCGAAGGCGACUUCCUGGCCUGUUCUUGACGCUGAGGCGCGAAAGCUAGGGGAGCAAACGGGG
rnacentral:rRNA from 1 species